CAACCUCCCACCCAUGUUUAUUGUACCUUGUUGCUUCGGCGGGCCCGCCUCACGGCCGCCGGGGGGCUUCUGCCCUCUGGCCCGCGCCCGCCGAAGACACCAUUGAACACUGUCUGAAGAUUGCAGUCUGAGCAAUUAGCUAAAUAAGUUAAAACUUUCAACAACGGAUCUCUUGGUUCCGGCAUCGAUGAAGAACGCAGCGAAAUGCGAUACGUAAUGUGAAUUGCAGAAUUCAGUGAAUCAUCGAGUCUUUGAACGCACAUUGCGCCCCUUGGUAUUCCGGGGGGCAUGCCUGUCCGAGCGUCAUUGCUGCCCUCAAGCACGGCUUGUGUGUUGGGCCCCGUCCUCCUUCCCGGGGGACGGGCCCGAAAGGCAGCGGCGGCACCGCGUCCGGUCCUCGAGCGUAUGGGGCUUUGUCACCCGCUUUUGUAGGCCCGGCCGGCGCUUGCCGACAACCAUCAAUCUUUUUUCAGGUUGACCUCGGAUCAGGUAGGGAUACCCGCUGAACUUAAGCAUAUCAAUAAGCGGAGGA
rnacentral:sRNA from 1 species